AUCAUUAUCGAAAUAAGCAUGUAGCAGGUUGUCGCUGGCCCUCUCAAGGGGGGUCGUGCACGCUUGUUAUUUCUUCAUUUCUCCAUCUCUUUGUGCAUCCACUAGAUCUUUUUUUAUGGUCUCUGGAGAGAAAUGGGUCUCUCUGGACAAUUGAGGACUGCUUUGCGAAAUAUAUUGCGGGCUUUCCUUGCUGAUCACAAUAUAUCAUAUACUCCUGUUAAUAAUAGAGAAGGGUUUAUAAAAGAUUGUUUAUACAACUUUCAGCAACGGAUCUCUUGGCUCUCGCAUCGAUGAAGAACGCAGCGAAAUGCGAUAAGUAAUGUGAAUUGCAGAAUUCAGUGAAUCAUCGAAUCUUUGAACGCAUCUUGCGCUCCUUGGUAUUCCGAGGAGCAUGCCUGUUUGAGUGUCAUUAAUAUCUCAACCAUACUCAUGUUGAGGGUAUGGCUUGGACGUGGGGGUUACAGGCCCUUAUUUGUGGUCUGCUCCCCUGAAAUACAUGAGUGGCAAAGCCCCUCCAUUAGGUGUGAUACUUAUCUGCAUCUAUGGGGAUCUGCUGGAUCAUAUGUUGUUGUUGUUGUUCUUGACCUCAAAUCAGGUAGGACCACCCGCUGAACUUAAG
rnacentral:rRNA from 1 species